UGACACAUGUUAAUGGCCGCGGUAUAACUAACGUGCAAAGGUAGCGCAAUCACUUGUCUUUUAAUUGAAGACCCGUAUGAAAGGCUAGACGAGGGCUUAACUGUCUCCUUUCUCCAGUCAAUGAAAUUGAUCUCCCCGUGCAGAAGCGGGGAUCAGAACAUAAGACGAGAAGACCCUGUGGAGCUUAAGACCUAAAGGCAGAGUAUGUUAAACACCUCAAGACAAAAAGCUAAACAAUACUUAUUGCCCCUCCGUCUUUGGUUGGGGCGACCCCGAGGAACAGCAAAACCCCCGUGAAGAGCAAGAAAACUUUUUCUUACAAACCAGACUUACCAGUCUGGUUAACAGAACACCUGACUAAAACUAAUGAAUGAUCCGGCCCACGCCGAUUAACGAACCGAGUUACCCCAGGGAUAACAGCGCAAUCCUCUUUUAGAGCCCCUAUCGACAAGAGGGUUUACGACCUCGAUGUUGGUUCAGGACAUCCCGGUGGUGCAGCCGCUAUCAAUGGUUCGUUUGUUCAACGAUUAA
rnacentral:rRNA from 1 species